UGGCGGACGGGUGAGUAAUGUCUGGGAAACUGCCCGAUGGAGGGGGAUAACUACUGGAAACGGUAGCUAAUACCGCAUAACGUCGCAAGACCAAAGAGGGGGACCUUCGGGCCUCUUGCCAUCGGAUGUGCCCAGAUGGGAUUAGCUAGUAGGUGGGGUAAAGGCUCACCUAGGCGACGAUCUCUAGCUGGUCUGAGAGGAUGACCAGCCACACUGGAACUGAGACACGGUCCAGACUCCUACGGGAGGCAGCAUG
rnacentral:rRNA from 1 species